CCUACGGGUGGCAGCAGUGGGGAAUAUUGGGCAAUGGGCGCAAGCCUGACCCAGCAACGCCGCGUGCAGGAAGAAGGCUUUCGGGUUGUAAACUUCUUUUCUCAGGGACGAAGAAAGUGACGGUACCUGAGGAAUAAGCCACGGCUAACUACGUGCCAGCAGCCGCGGUAAUACGUAGGUGGCAAGCGUUAUCCGGAUUUAAUGGGUGUAAAGGGCGUGUAGGCGGGACUGCAAGUCAGAUGUGAAAACUACGGGCUCAACCUGUGGCCUGCAUGUGAGACUGUAGUUCUUGAGUACUGGAGAGGCAGACGGAAUUGCUAGUGUAGCGGUGAAAUGCGUAGAUAUUAGGAGGAACACCAGUGGCGAAGGCGGUCUGCUGGACAGCAACUGACGCUGAGGCGCGAAAGCGUGGGGAGCAAACAGGAUUAGAUACCCUUGUAGUC
rnacentral:rRNA from 1 species